rnacentral:rRNA from 1 species
AGUGAACGCUGGCGGUAGGCCUAACACAUGCAAGUCGAACGGCAGCACAGUAAGAGCUUGCUCUUACGGGUGGCGAGUGGCGGACGGGUGAGGAAUACAUCGGUAUCUACUUUUUCGUGGGGGAGAACGUAGGGAAACUUACGCUAAUACCGCAUACGACCUACGGGUGAAAGCAUGGGAUCUUCGGACCUCGCGCGAGUGAAUGAGCCGAUGUCGGAUUAGCGAGUUGGCGGGGUAAAGGCCCACCAAGGCGACGAUCCGUAGCUGGUCUGAGAGGAUGAUCAGCCACACUGGAACUGAGACACGGUCCAGACUCCUACGGGAGGCAGCAGUGGGGAAUAUUGGACAAUGGGCGCAAGCCUGAUCCAGCCAUACCGCGUGGGUGAAGAAGGCCUUCGGGUUGUAAAGCCCUUUUGUUGGGAAAGAAAAGCAGCAGGUUAAUACCCCGCUGUUCUGACGGUACCCAAAGAAUAAGCACCGGCUAACUUCGUG